UGGGUCCAUUAGGACACACGGGGGUGUCUCUGGUUAUCACAAGAACUGGAGAGAAGUCCCAGCAUUUCCCAGGAUUCCUUACUCAUCUUUUCAAAUUGGACAGAAGGUGUUGCCAGCUAGUUCAUUGUUGUCAAGCGGAAGUACGUGGUAAGACACUUCUUACUGGAAUCCAUGGGUUUGGAAUUUCAAAAUCAGAACAAUACUAGUACCUCAAGCCAAGUGUGUGUCUUUCUUUUGGGAUGGUAUCUUUGCUAUUUGAAAGUGUUGUUUUAAUUCUUCUUUAAUGUAAUCUACCUCCUUUUCUAUUGUUCUCACUGUAAAAUUUUAAAAUAAAUGUCCAUACGCUUCAACUCUGCGA